rnacentral:rRNA from 3 species
CGACCUCGGGCUGUACGG